UUCUCCCGUGCUACUCGCUACUACCGCUCUCGAACCCCUUCCUGCCACACCCCCGCGCCGCCGAAUCUCCCUGACCUGCCACCAUCGCCGUGUCCUCCUCCUCCCCACCCACUGCCGCUGCAUCGCCUCCUCCUCAUUGCCUACGCGUCGUCCUCCUUCGCACUCACCGCUGCUGCAUCGCCUCCUCCACACGGCCUCCGCGUUGUCCUCCUCCUCACCCACCGCCGCCGCGUUCUCCUCCUCCCCAUCACCCGCCAUUGCCCCGCUGAUCUCCUCUCUCAGCGCCACCAUCAAUCCCGCGGCGGUCACCGUCCCCGAGUCCCCUUUGCCGGCUCAACCGUCGUCGUCAGAUCCACCGACGGGGUGAACUCGGCAACGGUGGUCCAGUGCUCGAUCGCUAACGCAUGUCGCGCCGUCUUGUCCACCACCGUUGCGACCUCCUCCUCCCCAACACCCCCGUGUUGCUGUGCCUCCCUGACCUGCCACCGCUACCGCCGCCGCAUCCGCCUCCCCAUCACCCACAGCGUCGUCCUUCGCCUCGCCGAUAUCCUCUCUCCCCGCUGCCAUCAAUCCCGUGAUGGCCACCGUCGCUGCCGUGCAGCCGUCGUCGUCAGAUCCUCCUCCACCGCCCCAACGCCGGUUGUGUCGUCCUGCCCACAACACCUGCGCACCCUCCGCCGCUUGAUAUUCCUGCGAGCUACCCAAACUUCAGACAGAGGCAGAGGAGCAGGACCACAUGAACUCCUUAAUAUAGAUGAUCAACAUGUCUCCAUAUCUAUCCAGGAUGUUGGUCAGAGGAGAUUUUGUUCUUUUAUUUACCAUUGAUUGGCCUCUAGUUGAUGUAUCUAAUUUCAUAUACUCCGUAAGCACAACAUGAACGUUCGUGGUACCUAAGUGGUCCUUAUGUGUACAUGGAUCAAUCUGCUGAUGAUAAAAAGAUUUUAGGCUGCUAUUAAAAAAAGUGUAACAGAUAUUGGCUUAUCGAUUCACUGUCAGUAAGCUUGGGAUUACAUUGGCUAAGUAUCAUUAAGUGUUCAAAUGAUCAUAAUAUAUAUCUGCAACUCUAAUUUAUUUAAAACUUCUAGGAGAAGUUGAGGAUCACACAUUCACAUAAAAGUGGCCAUUUCUUAUACAAUUGUAAGCACAAUGUUUUUAUGACCAAUAGCAUCGGAUGAUCAAAGUGCCUUUUAUCUCCAUUUUCCACAUUCUCUUGAACCUUGAGGUUUUUUUUUUCUGUCUAAUCCUUAAUUCAUACAACGUAGGAC
rnacentral:lncRNA from 1 species